rnacentral:rRNA from 1 species
GACGAACGCUGGCGGCGUGCUUAACACAUGCAAGUCGAACGGAAAGGCCCUGCGGUUGUGGGGUGCUCGAGUGGCGAACGUGUGAGUAACACGGGAGUAACCUGCCCUGGACUUUGGGAUAACUUCAGGAAACUGGGGCUAAUACCGGAUAGGAGCUCCUGCUGCAUGGUGGGGGUUGGAAAGUUUCGGCGGUUGGGGAUGGACUCGCGGCUUAUCAGCUUGUGGGUGGGGUAGUGGCUGACCAAGGCUCUGACGGGUAGCCGGCCUGAGAGGGUGACAGGCCACAUUAGGACGGAGAUACGGCACAGACUCCUCCGGGAGGCAGGAGUGGGGAAUAUUGCACAAUGGGCGGAAGCAUGCUGCAGCAACGCGGCGUGCGGGAUGACGACCAUCGGGUUGUAAACCGCUUUCGCAUCUGAAGAAGAGUGAGUGACGGUAAUGGGUAAAGAAGCCCCGGCUAACUACGUG